rnacentral:rRNA from 1 species
ACGGGUGAGUAACACGUGGACAACCUGCCCAGAAGUGGGGGAUAACCUGGGGAAACUCGGGCUAAUACCGCAUACGGUUCGCGAGGCUUCGGCCUUGCGCAGAAAGGUGGCCUAUGCUUGCAAGCCACCGCUCCUGGAGGGGUCCGCGUCUGAUUAGCUAGUUGGCGGGGUAAUGGCCCACCAAGGCGACGAUCAGUAGCCGGCCUGAGAGGGUGAUCGGCCACACUGGAACUGAGACACGGUCCAGACUCCUACGGGAGGCAGCAGUGGGGAAUAUUGGACAAUGGGGGAAACCCUGAUCCAGCAACGCCGCGUGGAGGAUGAAGGUCUUCGGAUUGUAAACUCCUGUUAGGGGGGACGAAGGAAUGCCGGCGAACAGCUGACGGUACCCCCAGAGGAA